CAAAGGAAUUGACGGGGCCGCACAAGCGGUGGAGCAUGUGGUUAAUUCGACGCAACGCGAAGAACCUUACCAGGGCUUGACAUCCCCUGACCGCGUAUGAAAGUACGUUUUCACCCUCGGGUGACAGGGAGACAGGUGGUGCAUGGGUUGUCGUCAGCUCGUGUCGUGAGAUGUUGGGUUAAGUCCCGCAACGAGCGCAACCCCUACGUUUAGUUGCUAACAGGUGAAGCUGAGCACUCUAGACGAACUGCCGUUGACAAAACGGAGGAAGGUGGGGAUGACGUCAAAUCAUCAUGCCCCUUAUGUUCUGGGCUACACACGUGCUACAAUGGCCGGUACAGACGGAGGCGAAGCCGCGAGGCGGAGCAAAUCCGAAAAAGCCGGUCUCAGUUCGGAUUGCAGGCUGCAAUUCGCCUGCAUGAAGUCGGAAUCGCUAGUAAUCGCAGGUCAGCAUACUCGCGGUCGAAUACGUUCCGGGCCUU
rnacentral:rRNA from 1 species